rnacentral:lncRNA from 1 species
CCUUAGUUACCUCGACCUGUCAGAAAACCAGUUCUCAGGUCAAAUUCCUCCUGAACUUGGCCAUUUGAACCUUAUUAUCCUCCAUCUUUCGUCCAACCAACUCUAUGGGAUGGUCGCCAUUGAGUUUCAACAUGAAGCAUAUGAAGACAGUUUCUUGAACAAUCCCAAGUUGUGUGUCAAUGUUCCCUCUCUGAACCUCCCUAGAUGUGAUGCCAAACCUGUCAACUCCGACAAAUUGUCAACCAAAUAUCUCGUUAUGAUCCUAAUUUUUGCUCUAUCUGGUUUCCUAGCUGUUGUUUUCGUCACCCUGUCCGUGGUUCAUGUCUAUCAUAGGAAGAAUCACAGUCAGGAGCAUACAGCUUGGAAAUUUACUCCAUACCAUAAACUAGAUCUCGAUGAAUACAACAUAUUGUCCAGUUUGACAUAAAAUAAUCUGAUCGGAUGUGGUGGGUCAGGGAAAGUAUACCGAAUUGCUAAUAAUCGUUCUGGUGAACUCUUAGCGGUUAAAAUGAUUUGUAAUAACAGGAGAUUGGAUCAAAAGCUUCAGAAACAAUUCGAAACAGAAGUCAAGAUAUUGAGCACCAUACGCCAUGCCAAUAUAGUGAAGUUGUUGUGUUGCAUAUCAAAUGAAACCUCAAGUCUUCUUGUUUACAAGUACAUGGAGAAGCAGAGUUUGGAUAGAUGGCUUCAUGGGAAGAAGCAAAGAACAUCGUCCAUGACAAGUUCAGUUCAUAACUUCGUCUUGGAUUGGCCAACAAGGUUGCAGAUUGCCAUUGGACCUGCAAAAGGCCUAUGCCACAUGCAUGAAUACUGUUCUGUCCCAAUCAUACAUCGAGAUGUGAAGUCCAGCAACAUCUUGCUAGAUGCCGAGUUCAAAGCGAAAAUUGUGGAUUUUGGAUUGGCUAAGACGUUGGUCAAGCAAGGAGAACCCAACACCAUGUCAGGAAUUGUAGGCUCUUACAGGUAUAUUGCCCCUGGUAAGACCAUCAAGGCCCUCCUUUCCACAUGUUUUCAUUUCCAUAAUUUAUCGAUAAUUUGUAUCAUACCAUUCUCGUAUACUUGGAUCAUAGAGUAUGCUUAUACAACAAAGGUGAACAAGAAGAUCGAUGUAUAUAGCUUUGGAGUAGUCUUGCUUGAGCUUGUGACGGGAAGAGAACCCAACAAUGGGGACGAGCACAUGUGCCUUGCAGAAUGGGCAUUGGAUCAGUUUAGAGAAAGGAAAACCAUUGAGGAAGUGGUAGACGAGGAGAUCAAGGAACAAUGUGAUAGAGCACAAGUGGCCACUCUCUUCAAACUAGGCAUUAGGUGCACUAACAAAUUACCAUCCAAUAGGUCCACAAUGAAAGAGGUUUUGAAAAUUCUUCAACAGUGCAGUCCUCAAGAGGGCCAUGGAAGAAAUAAAAAGGACCAUGAAGUUGCACCUCCACUUCAAAAUGGCACUUAUCCCACCACUUACAAGUUGUGAGGAUAAAGCCCUUAAAAACAUGAUAUUAUGUAAUAAAUUUGGAACUCAUUAUUUAUUUAACGAUGUUCUGAUUUCACUUUUAUCUAUUCUUAUUCCAUGUAUUAUACUUUAUGAGCAUUCUUGUCUGCAUCUUUUGCAUUGCACGUAACUUAGGUGCAUUAAAAGUUGCACAGAAGAUCUAGGUCAUGGGUUCCUCGCAAAUAUAUGACUUGUUCACAACCAGUUCAUGGGUCUAGGAAGCCCAUUAGAGGUUGUAAAAAACCACUUCCUAAUUGGAAGAAUGGCUAGUCUUAGCUAUUGGGAUGAGUUUUCCAUGAUAAGUGCAUUAGUGUGUAUGGUUACAUAUUGGACAAGACCUAUGGUGAAUCAUGACUUAAGGUUAUCAAGCAGUCAUGACCUCAUCAAACUGCUUCAUUGUGUUGUCUCUCAACCUUGAGAGAAUAUUGAGCUUGUACUAAAGUUAGCAAUGACUUUGACAUACAGGUGAGAUCGUAAGUUGAUCAUAUAUUCCCUAUGGAUUGAGUCACUGUUGAUGGAAGAUGGUAGCGAUAGGUAUUUUCAAUAAAAACACCAUGAUGUUUCUUGGGAUUAAGACAAUGUGCCCCUUUUGGUGAUCUUAAAGAGGUGUGUUCAUGGAAACUAUGGUCAUAGUAGUUCCUUAAGUAAAAAUCGACAUAGGCUCUUUGAGAGGUAAGACAUGUCAAUUGAAUACACAAUAGGAGGAUUUAUAACUCAAGGAUGGUAGAGGUAGUCUUGAAAGACUAAUAACUUUCACUUUGUUAGACUAUGAAUAUCAGUUCAUGGGAAGACUAAACACAAUAAAUAGCAAGUCACAAACCUGAACAUUUGGUAUCUCAUUGUUAUUUUCAAUAAAAUAACAAUGAGAUGGUAAGUUGAUCAUAUAUACCCUAUGGAUUGGGUCACUGUUGAUGGAAGAUGGUAGCAAUAGGUAUUUUCAAUAAAAGCACCAUAAUAUCUCUUGGGAUUAAGACAUUGUGCCCCCUUGGGUGAUCCUAAAGAAGUGUGUUCAUGGAAACUAUAGUCAUAGUAAUUCCUUAAGUAAAACUCAACAUAAGCUUUUUGAGAGCUAAGACAUGUCAAUUGAAUACACACUAGGAGGAUUUCUAACUCAAGGAUGAUAGAGGUAGCCUUGAAAGACUAAUAACUUUCACUUUGUUAGACUACGAACAUCAGUUCAUGGGGAGACUAAACACAAUAAAUAGCAAGUCACAAGCUCGAGCAUUUGGUAUCUCAUUGUUAUUUACAUAGGAUACCGGAGUUCAAUUGAUUCUUUGUAGUGGGAUGUUGAAUCAACUUUAGAAUUGGAUUUUGAGAGAGUCGGUAUUCCUAUGGGUCCCAAUGGUCCUUACUCUAAGCUUAUAUACUUUGUUGGCAAGGAUUAUAAGAGUCGGAUUAGCUCUAGGUUUACUUUUGUACAUAAGGGCAUUUUGAUAAUUACGCAAGGUUACACAAAGGUAAAUGAACAAGGUUUUUAGAUUGGGUUAAUUGAUUAAUUAGUAGGCCCUGUUUGGUUAAUUAAUCAAUUAGGACUUUCUAUAUUAAGUGACCUAAGCCCUUAGUGGGCUCAAGUCACUUAAACCUAAUAGAAAACCCUAUAAAUACCCCCUUAAGGGUUAGAGUUUAUAUAGUUUUUCUAAAAAGCCAUCUUCUAUCUCUAAAGAGAAAGAGAAAGAGUCAUAGCAUCCACCCUCCCUUCUAUCUCCACUAGAAGUGUGUCGAUCAAGGUUCAAGUCAUUGGGAGGAAAACUUUGAAUUUACGAGACUUCUGCGAUUUCGUUCUUCAUUUUCACAAUGUGGAUUUGAUUCGAGAACAUCCGAAUUUGAGGUAUGGUUUUCAUUAGCACUUUUUGAAUCCCUUUAAAGUUUAAAAAUGUUAUUUUUCCGUUGUGCAUAGGAUUAAUUUAGAAAAUGCUUAGAAUAGUUAUGCAAGUUCCUAACCUGAUCUGAGCUUAGGAAAUGGAGAGAACCUAGUUUUUUCCCUUAAUGUUUGUGCUCCAAAGUGUUGAGAUAGUUUAGAGGGUGACAUGAUGAUUGACAUAAUACCUUAUGUGGAGAACCUAGUGAAUCCCUUCUCCAAGACAUUGAUAGGGAGAGUCUUUGUUAGUCACAUGGAUAGCAUAGGUUUUAAAUGAGUAUUUGGCAUGCUUUAAAGGCAUGAUGCUUUGAGGGCUAAUGGGAGAAUGUUAGGAUAAAGCCCUUAAAAGCAUGACAUGAUGUAAAAAAUUUGGAAUUCAUUAUUUAUUUAAUGAUGUUCUAGUUUCACUUUUAUCAAUCCUUAUUCCAUGUAUUAUACUUUAUGAGCAUUCUUAUUUGCAUUUUUUGCAUUGUACAUGACUUAAGUGCAUUAGGAGUUACAUAGAAGAUCUAAGUCAUGGGUUUCUUGCAAAUAAAUGACUUGUUCACAACUGAUUCAUGGGUCUAGGCAACCCACUAGAGGUUGUAGUGCAUCAUACCACCUUCUAAUUGGAGGGAUGACUAGUCUUAAUUAUCAGGAUGAGUUUCCCAUGGUGAGUGCAUUACUGUGUAUGGUUACACAUUAGACAAGACCUAUGGUGAGUCAUGACUUAAGGCUAUCAAGUAGUCAUGACCUUACCAACCAACUUCAUUGUGUUAUCUCUCAACCUUAAAAGAAUAUUCAGUUUAUACUAAAGUUAAUAAACUGAAGUUAGCAAUGGCUUUGACAUACGAGUGAGAUCAUAAGCUAAUCAUAUAUUCCCUAUGGAUUGGGUCAUUAUUGAUGGAAGGCGUGAAAGGCAGACGCCCGGGCACGCAAAGCCCGUCUCAACGAACGGGAGGAGAAAAGGCAAGAAGGAACUUUGCGGAAGGCUCUUGGUGAUAAACGCCCCGCAUCCCCUCCACCUGCUGGCGCACUAGAUAAAAAGAAGAAGAAGCAGGUUUUCAACAAGGGAAAAGAAAUAAAACUCUCAUCUCCCCCAAAGGAAGUUGUAAUACCACCUCCAACUUUCGUAAGAGGAAUAACAAUAAGAACGCCAGAUCUCUCCGUUUUGCCCUCUGUUUCAAGCGGCUCCAGACAUAUCGCGUAUCUAAAUGGAUCGGGGCCUUCAGUGCCAGUGCCAGCGGCUAGACGGCUGGCUCUUCUGGCUGAGGAAGCGACUUCAGUGAAUCAGCCCGACUCUCCUUAUCCGGACGCGAAUGUAGCCGGGGCCUCUUGUACUUAAACGUUGCUUCUUAUGGCGCCUUUAACGGAAGAAACAGGGGUUGAAAGUCAGGGUUUGCCUCAUUGCGAACCAAGCUUCCUUGCCCUUGUACCGGUGAAGGGGCCAGCUAUAAGGAGGUCUCAUCCGGCCCGUGAUUUAAAGUCUGGCAUUAGCGGGCGGCUUCAGGACAUUCUUCUGGAAACCAUCGAAGUCAGCUGCUCAUCCGCCCAGGAGGAUCAUCCGGAGGAGAGUGAGACGGAGAUGGCAGAAGAGAACCCAACCGCCCCGGUGCUGGUCCCGGAUGAGGGUUCACCCGAAGAGAUCCAGCCGGCCGUGAAUAAUGGGGCCCUAGAUCCGAGGGAGGAGUCACACCCUACCGCCUCGUCAAGGGGAAGUCUAGUUGAUGAUGCGGCUUGCAUCUCCGCUAGCCCUUUCAAUUAUGCGGAGUUGGGAGAGAUGCUGAAACGGAUUCCACCCGGCUCAGAUGUUGAUGUGCCUUCAGCAAAAAUGUUUGAAGUGGCGGAAAUGGUAUAGUUUUACUUCUUGAUUUUUCUUGCCAUACUGAUGUGUUUGUCACAUGGGUUGUAAUUUUGUACUUCUUGUUUGUGGGUUUUUCUGCAGCUGGUGAGCGGUAUUCGUGGCAUGGCUUAACAACAUGAUCUUUUUUCAGACCUGCUGCGUACUGCCGAUUAUAUGAAGGUCUUCGUCUCCCAUCGCAUAAACAGUAAAGAAGAACUGCGCUUGAGAUUGGAGCAGGCCGAAGCUAGUUUAUCCGCUGCCCGGAGGGCCUCUGAAGAGAGUGUCGAAGCUUUGAAGAAAUCCCAAGAGGACAACGAGGUUCUCCGGGUAGAGCUAGCUGAGCCAAAGAGUCGGGAGGAAUCUACAGACGCCCGUCUGCAUGAGGCGGAGGGUGAGAUGGCCCAGUUGAGGGGAGAAGUGAGGCAACUCCGGACAGAGGUGUCCAUUGAGAAAAAGCAGAGAGAGGACUUGCAGUUGCGUUUAUCAGCGCAAAAAGAAGAGUUCGAGGCUGAGUUUGCUGCGAAAAGGGAGGAACUCGAGACGAACUACCAGAAGUAGGUAGAUGAGAUGUAUAUCUUUGGCUACCGCUGUUGCAUGAAGAAGCAUGGCAUCAAACGGGACGUCCCUUCGAUUCCCCCGGGUGAGGAAGAAAAGUUGCGUCGCAAGCCCUCCCAAUGAGAGUUUUUCUUUUUUUAUCUUUUAUUGCUUUUUUCUUUUUGUAUUUUGUAGUCCGGAGAACCUUUUUUGUAUACAAUUUUCACAAGUAUUAAUAAAACAUACUCAUUCACAUUGUACUUGUAUCUUUCUUUCAUUAGUAAUACUGCUUUAAAUUGGACACAUUCCAUGGUCGGAGCAAUGGGGUUCCAUCUAGCUUUUGUAGAUGAUAGACUCCAUUUUCACUUGUCUUGGAUACUAUAUAGGGGCCUUCCCAAUUGGCUUGAAACUUUCCUGCUCCUGUCUCAACAGUGUUUUCGAAAACCUUCCUAAAGACCAGCAUUCCACUUUUGAAACUUCUGGGCCUUGCUUUGCGAUUGUAGUGAGCGGCUGCCCUUUGUUGAUAGUCUGCCAUCCGGAUGGAUGCGGUUUCUCUUACUUCGUCUGCCCAGUCCAAGUUUCUUCCUAACUUCGCACUUGCAUUAUCCUGACUUCCUGCCUCGGUCCGGAUAGUGGGUAGCCCUAUUUCAGUAAGAAUGACUGCGUCCAUACCGUAUGCGAGGGCGAAGGGAGUGUUUCCUGUCGGACGUCCGGGUGUGGUUCGAUAAGCCCACAGGACGCCGGGUAGCUCCUCUACCCAUUUCCCUUUGGCUUGCUCGAGCCUCUUCUUUAAGGCAGUUAUUAGGGUCUUGUUUGUGGCCUCUGCUUGUCCAUUGCUUUGAGGAUAACGCGGUGUGGAGUAUGCAUUUCGGAUGUUUAGUUCCGAAUAGAAAUCCCGAAAAGUUUUGCUAUCGAAUUGUGGACCGUUGUAGGCUAUAAUGGUUUGGGGGAUUCCAAAGCGGCAGAUGAUGUUCUUCCAUACGAACUUGGUGACAUCUUUGUCUUUGAUGCUAGCGUAUGCUUCUACUUCCACCCAUUUACUGAAGUAAUCCAUGGCGACGAGUAGGAAUUUUUUCUGGGCAGCUGCGGCUGGUAGGGGUCCUACUAUGUCCAUGCCCCACUGCGCGAAAGGCCAGGGACCUGAAAUUGGUUUCCACGUCUCCGACGGCACAUGUGGUAUGGGGACAUGCCUUUGACAUUUGUCACAUUUUUUUACGUAGGCUGCCGCAUCCUUUUUCAUCGUGGGCCAGUAAUACCCUUGCGAAUAGGCCCUGUGCGCCAGAGAUCGACCUCCAGAAUGAUUUCCACAUACUCCCUCGUGCAAUUCAGCUAAUACAUACAGGGCCUCUUAGUGGUUUAGGCACCGGAGAUAGGGACCUGUGAAGGACUGUUUAUACAAAUGCCCCCCAAUCAGGGUGAAACGGGCGGCUUGUAGCUUGUGUGUCUGCUUGGGCUCUUCGAGCAGAGUGCCUGUCUGGAGGUACCUUAUAAUGUCUUCCGUCCACUCUUGGCCGUCUGCUUGGUUUGCCUCAAUGGUAUUGCAAAUGGAAGCUUCUGUGACGGAAGGGUUGACUUGCACAUGUAUAGGCAACAAUAUGGCUUCUUUGAUGGGGAGGGAGGCAGCUAUGCCUGCCAGGGCGUCGACACGUCCAUUUUCAGCUCGUUUAAUUUUUUCGAUCGUCCAUUCGGUGAACCGUUGUAAGGUGUCCCUUACUUUAGUCAGAUACAGUGCCAUGCGCGCAUUCUUAGCUUCGUAUUCCUUUUGGACGUGCCUUACCACGAGUUGAGAAUCACUAUAGACCCGGAGCCUUGAGACGGAUAGAGCCAGGACGAGGUCCAAUCCGAAUAGAAUGGCCUUAUACUCCGCUUCAUUGUUAGAGACGGGAAACCCCAGCCGGAUGGCUUGCUCCAGAUGUUCUCCUGUUGGGGACUAUAGCAGGAGCCCUACUCCGGAUCCUGAUGAUCAGGAGGUUCCAUCGACCCGCAAAGUCCACCACUCUUUUUCACUUGGUUCCUUGUGCUGGGUAGGCUUUUGGGAGUAUUCCAGCACAAAGUCAGCCAUCACUUGACCUUUCAUGGACAACCUGGGUUGGAACUCAAUUCCAUAUUCGCUCAACUCUAUGGCCCAUUGAAGCAUUCUUCUGGUUAGGUCCGGCUUAUGCAAAAUGUUGCAAAGAGGUUGGUCUGUUAGCACGACCACCGGGUGGGCUUGGAAGUAAGGGCGGAGCUUCUAGGCGGCACUUCAAAGAGCUAAGGUCAUUAGCUCCAUCUUUGAAUACCUGGUUUCUACGUCCGUCAACGCUCUGCUGACGUAGUAGAUAGGUUUCUGCUCCUUAGGUGAGGAGCAGCAGAAUAGAACAACGCUAAUUGCUCACUCCGAUACAGCCAAAUACAUAUACAAUUUUUCUUCAGGGAGGGGGUUGCUUAGGAUGGGCGGUUGCAUGAGGCAGUGUUUAAUUUUUUUCAAAAGCGCUCUAACAGCUGUCUGUCCAUCCGCUUGCUCCAUUUUUUCAUAUUGCCAAGAAGAAAGGUCGCAGUUCAUCAAUGAAGCGGGCUAUAAAGCGUCCUAGCGCGACGAGCUUGCCUAUGAGGCGCUAUAAUUCCUUCUUGCUCCUGGGGGGUGGUGUUUCCAUGACUGCCUUGACUUGAUCCGGGCUGACCUCUAUCCCCCUUUGGCUGACCAUAAAUCCUAGGAAUUUGCCAGCACUUACGCCAAAGGCGUAUUUAGAAGGAUUCAACCUCAUGUCAUACUUCUUUAAGAGGUGGAAGACUUCUUGCAAGUGGAGGACAUGUUCCUCUCGGGUUUUGCUUUUAACCACGAUAUCGUCAAUAUAUACCUCUACUGUGCGGCUGACCAGAGGUUUGAAGAUCUUUGUCAUCAGUCUCUAAUAAGUGGCGCCAGCGUUUUUGAGUCCGAACGGCAUGACUUUGUAGCAAUAAAGGUCGUGUGGUGUUAUGAAGGCUGUCUUUUCUUCGUCAGCCAGGGACAUGGGGAUUUGGUGGUAUCCGGAGAAGGCGUCCAAGAAGGAAAGCAUCCCUUGCCCAGUAGUGGAGUCCACAAUUUGAUCUAUCCGUGGCAAAGGGAAACUGUCUUUUGGGCAUGCAUUAUUGAGGUUGGUGUAGUCGACGCACACCCGCCAUUUGCCUUCUUUUUUGGGUACCACCACUACAUUUGCCAACCAGUCCAGGUAAUCCACUUCUCUGAUGAAUCCGACUUCUAACAAAUUGUCAAUCUCAUUCCAGAUAAUUUUUUGUCUGUCCGGGUGAAAACGUCUAACCCUCUGUCAGACGAGUCUUGCUAUGGGCAAGACAUUAAGCUUAUGGGAGACGAUGGAGGGGUGAAUCCCCUUCAUAUCAUAAUGCGCCCAUGCGAAAAUGUCAUGGCUUUGUUGGAGGGCGUUUUGGAUGUUCCGGGUCUCUUCUAGAGUUAGGAGAGAACUGAUAUAUGUAAGGUGAGUAAGUACCUUCUUUCGAAAUUUGGAUCGCCUGCAAGGGAUCCGCUUCCGGGGGAUCUUUGUCUGUCAGACUCAAUAAUUGCUAUUGGUCACGUGCAUGGCUGGACUCAGGGAGGGAUGCAUCCUCCUGGCUGGUCUCUGCUUCUCGUGCUAUCUAGUAGCAUUGGUGAGCAGCUAACUGGCUGCCGUAUAAGUCAAUUUGCCCAUCCUUGGUAAGGAAGCUUACCAUUUGAUGAUAUGUAGAGGGGAUGGCUUUCAUGUAGUGCAGCCAUGUGCGCCCCAAGAUGACAUUGAAGGAUGAUAAGUCUUGUACCACCAAAAAUUGUACGUUGAGAAUGACUAGGUCAGCUUGGACCGGCAGUACAAUGUCUCCCAAUGAAGUAGUUGACGCCCCGUUGAAUCCGGACAAGAUUCGCCCAGGUUUUUCGAGGCCUGUGAGACUGUGCCCCAUGUGGCUAACGACCGAUGCUUGUACAAGAUCGGCCAAGCUGCACGGGUCAAUUAGGAUGCGUCGCACGUCGAAAUCUCCUAUCUCUAGGGACAGGAUGAGGGCGUCGCGGUGCGGCUGUAAUAUCCGGGUGGGGUCUACUGGUAGGAAAAUGAUUGUCCCAUCUAUGGGGCGAGGGCCCCCCCAGUUAUCCUAGGCCGGAUGGAGUUGACACACUCGCGCACCGAUGCUGGUCGCAACAACUUUUGUCUCUUUCGUUUGGAAUCGUACUCCUCGUCGGAUGGGCCUCCGUUAAUAUAGUUUAUAACGGCUUUAGAGGUGGUUGGGGCCCUAGGGGCUCCAGAGUUGUGAUUUCGAGAAGCGUCUUCACCUCUGGCAUCUGAGCGGAGGUAUUGCUUUAAAUGUCCCGCCUUUAUGAGCCUUUCGACCAAAUGAUGGAGACACCUGCACGCCUCCGUUGUGUGACCAUGCUCCUUAUGGAAGACACCUGAACUCUCCUCUGGGAUUCAGCAAUUUAUGAAUGUAUCUUUAGGCCCAUGUAGAUAAAUCCAUGCUUGGUGGUAGUAUGCUUAUUGAUGAUAGUCUAGAGAUGUGGAAAUCAAAUGAUUCUGAUGAACUAAAUUUGAUGCGUGAUGAGAUAGAUGACGUGUUAUCUAAGGAUCACAAAGUUCAUCAAUAGAAACUCGUUUGAUGAUGCGUCAAUCUGAUGGAGAGAAUCCGUUGAUAAAAAAUGAUGAAAUGCCAAUUUGAAGAUAAUGACUGCGAUUCAUCUCCGAAGAUGAAUCUAAUGAGAACGUUCAGGAUUCAGAAAUGGAGAGCUAUAAUGGCAGUGGUGAUUUGCAACAACAUCGAUCUCUGGUGGCAGUGACAGCAAACUCUAAUGGUGGUAAACUACGCCGACAGAGACAAUCUCCAUGAAUUGCGCAACAAACUUCAAUGGCGAUCUCCAGUGGUGGUGAUGAAUUCUCCUACAACAAUGAACUCUCAUUCUCCUGUAGAGAUGAACUCUCAGAUGUCGGUGAAUUAUUUUUAUAUAUUUUUUUAAUAAAUUUUAAAUGAAAUAAAAUAAAUAAAUAAAUUUUAAAUCAAUAAAUUAAUUUUAUAUAUUUUUUUAAACUCAUUUAACUUAUUUUAAAUUUUCAAUUAUAAAAUUAAAUAAUUUGAAAAUAUAUAAAUUUAUAACUAAUUUUAAUUAUAUUUUAUUUUCUUUUAUAAUUUUCAUAUAUAGUAUAACCAAUACCAAUGUUUUCAAAAUCAGACCGCUGCUUGAACCGGAAAAGUUACCGGUUCACGAUUCACGAUUCACGAUUCAUUAAUUGAACUGGUGGUCAAACCGUAGUCAAAUCAAUGACAUCAUAAAUAAUAAUUUUUUUCUUUUUUCUCACUAACUAAUCCCACAUCGGAAAUGGAUAAAAAAUAUGUAGGAAUUGUGGUAUAAAAGGCAAGCUAGAAUCAUUAACUUGCAAGACUAAAAGCUUAUUGGGCUUGAUGACAAACAAGUUGGAUGGGCUCCUCAUGGAGUGAUCCGGUUCUCUUAUGGUAUCAAAACCUUUUUUUUUUUGUUUUAAAAUAAAUAAAUAAAUAAAUUGUUCGGUUCGCUAAGAAUCGCCUGGUUGGGGCGGUUCACUAGCUCAACCACUGGUUUGAUGCCCAAACGGUUUUUUGGGUGGACCAAACUGGUUUUGUUACCGAUCGGACCAACUGGUCCGGUCCAAUUUUUAAAUCAUUAUCAAAUACAAUAAAAUAAUUUUUUUUAACAUUUUUUUUAUUUUUUUAGUACUUCUCAAAAAUCAAACAUAAUCAUAAGACUAAUCAUAUUUUUUAUCAUAAUAUCAUUCGAAGACAAUGCCCCAAGUGAGAAUCCCAAAACUUUUCAAUGUUUUACUAAUAUUAAGAUUUUGAAAAUCUAUACAAUUUAUUUUUCUUUUUCUUUUUUUAAUAUUUGGAUGAUAGUGCAUGAGUAUACAAGAAAGGUCAACGCAAAGAUCAAUGUCUACAAUCUUGAAAUUGCACUUCCAGAGUUGGGCCCUAAAAGAGAACCCAAUAAGGGGAAGGGGCAGCGUAUAAACCUUGUUCAAUGGGCAUGAAAACACCUUGGAGAAGGAAAGUCAUUCCUCUACCGGUUGACUAAUAAUUUGAUGGUAAUGACAGUAGUUCGGAUCAUUAACAUGACUCAUUUCUUCUAAACAUUUGCACUUAGGUAGCUCAAUAACUUUUUUAUGGAAUAGGUCUUCCAACAUGUUAGGCACAUCAGAGUCAGGAAAAUGAUAUUUCUUAUCCUUUAAUUCCUUCAAGGUGAAUCGACGCCUCUCAUUUUCCUAAAUUGGUCUAGUCUCUCUUACUUCCUUCUUUUUAUCUCGUGCUGAGAUUUUGAUGGGCGUUAUAUUUACUGUCAUUGACUUGUGGAUGGGUUUUAUUGAGGCCCGAUCACUUGUUUUCUCAUCAUGUCUCUCUCUUUACCGAUCAACAAUUAAUAAGGUCUUUUUUAGCACCAUGGUUAGCUAUGUUGAGCUUCAUGUCAUGUGCUCAAGUAGUUAACUGUUCAAAAAUGUGAGGUCAUAUCCCUUAGAGGAUGUACAAAACACCCCAAUGCAUUCCUUGUAUGCACAUUUCCAUGGCUGAUACAUCAAAUAAUCUAUCUUUGUAGUCGAAACUUAAAGAACGCCAAUGAUUGACGUAGUUUACGACCGGCUCAUAUUUCCAUUGCUUAGUAUUAGUAAGCUCCAUCAUGCUUACAGUCCGUCGGGUGCUAUAGAAAUGGUUGAGGAAUUUGCAUUCCAUUUGGCUCUAACUAUCGAUACACUUAGGUGUAAGGUCUAUGUACUAAUGAAAGCAUUCCCUCAAAAGGAACGAACAAAUUGUUUAACUAACAAGUCACUAUGUGCACUUGCAUUGUUAGAAGUUUUAACGAAAUGACAUGUUGUUUUGGAUUUCUCUUCCCAUAAAAUGAUUGAAACUUUGGAGGUUGAUAACCUACAAGCAUACAUAGGUUAUCAAUCCUCUUAGUGUAAGGUUUAGAGUACAUAAGUGUACUCUGUGAGGGUCCAUCGUACCGCACUCUAAUGGUGUUAGUUAUUAUGUCUUGAAGUUGCUAGACAGAUAACAACUCCAUCGAGGCAAAUUCCAUCAUUUUUCUUUCGACUUGCACUGUUCUAGAUGCAUGUGGUGCAUCAUCGAGAAGAGAUGCAACAUUCAAAAGGUGGUUAAGUCUUUAACUUGACUCACUUGUAUUUUGUACUUGUGCCUCAACCUUGUUUAUGAGAGAGGCUAUCUGCAUAUCAUUCUCCUCGACUAUCGUAGUGAAUUUGGUAAUGGUGUCAGUCAUCUCUACCAAUUGUUCCUCUAUAGAUGUAGUACCAACUGUCAUUACCGGCAUAGUCAUUGAGAUGAGAAAAAUAAAAUAGUCGAAAUGAUUGGAGUAGUUUUCCUCAUUCGACAUUCCAAUUGGUGAUUCGGAGUGUGAGCUGGUGCUAGAGUUAAUAUUGGUAAUAAAGCAAGGAGACUCAUCCCGAAAGUCCUUUAGUGCUAAAGAGAGUUUUCCCCUACUAUGAGGAUUGUGGCUCUUUGCCCCUAAGGAGGCCAAAGUGAUGAAUGGUUGGUGUUCAUCAUGUGUCCUUACCGAUUUUAGUAGACAAGUAGACCUAUUUAUUUCGUUGAAAGUGAAGAUGUUGAUUUUGAUUUGCUACGAGUCAUGGGACCCAUAGCAGUGUUGUGUGUUGAUUAUGCAAUGAUGAUCUUGUCAUUGUCCUUGUUGACAUGCACAACUUGAGUUCUUUUGGAUAUCAUCAACGUAGUAGAGAUCAAUCUUCUAACAAAAGAUAUGAGAGGCAGAGAGAUCCCAUCAAACAUGCUAGAAAUUUGUAUGCACAAAUUUCAUAAAGGUCCUGCAAAAUUAGCAAAACAAUACGAAAAUAAUGUGAACAAAAUAUUUAUCAAAAUUAAAAAUAUUGUGGUAUAAUAUAAAAAAUAAUACUCUUUACAAAACAAUAUUUUUUUCUCUAAUUUUUUUUGCCUUGAUCACAAUUUGAAAGACGACAAUGUCGUUUUCUUAUUUUGAAGAUUAAUUGAGGGCCACAAGUGACUUAUUCCUAAAUGAACACGUUGAAUGAUGAAGAACGCAUGUAGCAAUUCUAUCAUUUGCCGAACCUAUAGGGAGAUUCGAUGAUUUUUUUUUUUUUUUUUUUUUGUAAAGCCUUUUUUCCCAUACAAAGUUACCUCUAGAUUUUCUUCUUUAGGAUUUUCUUUUCUAGAUUUUUCUAAUUUUUGAGUUUCUCCCAUUUCUUGAAAGAAUUCACCUCUAUUUAUAGGUGAAGGUAGGAAAUUCGAAUUUUGAAUUCCCAAAUUUUAGUUGCUUAAUUCAAGGAAUUUAGUUAACUUUUCUUCUUGAGAAGGUUUCUCAUGAUGAUGAUGAUGAUAAUAAUAAUAAUAAUAAUAAUAAUAAUAUUUUUUUAAUUAUCAUUAUUAUUAUAUUUUCGAUUUUUUUAGGAAACUUAUUCGUAAUAGGAUAUUUAUUUAUUUAUUUAUUUUGAAUAUCAAAUUAGUGGUAAUUAAUCCACUAAAAUUUUUAUGUCUACAUCCUUAUCCACAAGUGUAGAGACAAAUAUGUCGUAAGUAAAUAAACUAUGAAUGACUUCAUUUGAGCUUAAAAUAAUAAAUUAAGCAAAUAAGCAUGUAGUAAAAUUAGAACUUACGACCCUCCUACUAAAUAAAGCUCUAAUAAUAUGUUGGAUAAUUGAUUUUUUUAAAAGCUUAAACUUAAGAUUUGCAUCCCGAUGGAUGUGCAUCAUGUUUUCUAAUAAUAUAUCACAUACUUUUCUAGAUUUUAUGUUAGACUUGUGAUUACUUCUCUAAAUUAAUUUUUCAGCAUAUUGUAUAUAUGCAUUUGUUAGGAUGAAUCAAUUAUCAAUCAAUGCAGAAAUACAAGUACUCCUCAUAGAGCCUCUCUACUUAUUUCCACUACAACAGCUUAGUUGGUUGAACUUAAAAGAAUUCCUAAGUGCUUUCACAAAUGUUUUGAACUUCAAACCUGCACAAAGAUGGAAACCAUAUCAUUGAAAUAAUUAAAACAAAUCAACUGAAAUCAAACUGCUAUUGCCUUGUUUAAAAAUUUAAAGAAAAAAACAAAAAAAAAAUCAUGGGCUUUUACGCAAAACUUAACAGUAGGGUUCCCAAAGUUCAUUAUUCAGAAUACUAACAAGUGUCAUGUAUCAGUUCAACUCGGCACCUUCUUCCAUAAAUAAAUUAUAUUUGCUUUGGAAGAAAACUUGAGUUUUGAACAAAUAUAAUAUAUUUGAAAAAAAAAUCCAUAAAAUGGAUCUUCAAUCAAAAUAAUUCUCAAAAUAGUGUAUUUGUACUUGGGCAUCCAAAUAGUUUGAGAAUAUUUUUUAUGUGAUAAAAUCCUAAUUGAUAACUAUGAUUUUAAUUUAUUUUUUUUAAAUAUAAAACCGCUGUUGGUAAUUAUAGUUUUAACCAUUUUAAAAGAAAAUUCAAAAUCAUAAUUAACAACUAUAGUUUUAUAAGGUGGAUAUGUUAGCUCUUUUCUUAUAAUGUGUGAUCAUAUAUAAUUAUAUUUGUGUAAAUAUUAUUUAAGAGUAUCAAUUGAUAGAUAGGUGAAUCAAUUGAUUGGGCAUUCAAGAGUCUUAUGUAUGGAAGACUCAAAUUAUAAAUGGGGAGUUAGAAAAUUUAAUUUAUAUGAAUGUGGUGUUUAUAACCCCAUCAUUAUGAAAUUUAUUUUGUACAUUAUAUUUAUGAGUAAUAGAGGAAAAUGAAAAACUAUAACCUAUGCAUUUAUAUAAAUGCAUUCAAGUUCAUAACUCACCAUUACCCAUUAAUUUGUACAUAAUAGGUGUAAAUAAUGAGUAUAACUCUCGUAUAAUCUUUUAUAAGAAGACUAAGAGAUGUACAACUUUUUAUAAGUUAAGGUCUCAAGUCACAUUCUCAUUCUUAUGUCAUUUUGUUGUUUUAUUUUUUAACAACAUACACCACAUAAGUGACUCAUCCACUAUAUGAGAGUAGUGAGUUGAAGACUUUGACAAUACAAUUCACAAAAUGAUUCAAUUUCACUUCAAAAAUGAUAUUGAUAUUAUGGAUCAAGGUAAGAAUAUGAUCAUUAUUUUAAUAUUUAUAUUUAUUUUGUUUUAUGCAUUCAAAAUUAUUUUUUUUUAAAUAAUGAUUUCCACAUAAAGUUUAUAAAAGUUUAGUUAACAGGAAACCCAUGUGGAUGAGAUGCACUAAAAUUAUUCUGAGAUGGAAUCUAACCUGUGGAAUUUUUUUUAAAUAAAUUAUUUUUGUUCAAAACUUAGAAAAAAAAACUUGUUGAAAACUAAAUUCAACUAUACACUUUCGUAUUUUUCUUUUUAUAAGAUCAAAUCCACGUUAUCACUUUUCCACUAGAAUCCUCAUGAUUAAUUGUAGAAUUCUUGAGAUGAAAUGAAAUGGUUGUUGAAACUUCAGUUUUCAAUCUUGAUCAAUGUUGUCCCUUCCCUUAGCUGUGCAUUAUUCCAAUGCCAGUUUUUCUCCACAAACUUAGUCCAGAGACAAGAUUAGAUUCCGUGUGGAACCAUUCAUGUGUGGAUCCCGUUGUGAGACUUGACCAUCAAUAUCCUUCUCUCCAUUUGUGGGGUACUGCCCACGUGACCACUGCUUUGGAAAUUUGAGUAACACACCUAAAUUCUCAAAGACCCAAAACUACAGAUUUCUGCUUCAUCUUUCUCCUCAUUCAUGUGCACCUUUUCAAAGUAUUCAGUGGAGAUUGGCCCCAUCAGUCACGUUUUCCAUAAUGCAUGGUUACGUCACCAUCCAUUUGCUAAGUUGUCAUGCCUUUUUUCUACACCAACUCAGAAACCCCACCCGGCUGGUAUGGUUUUCAUUUUUUAUUUAUUUAUUUUUUUUAACCAAUAUAAAUAAGGCAUGAACCCAUCCAUUUUCAUAUCUGUACCUAAUGUUAAUAUUAAGUGAUUCUACUUAAAAAUACUUUUAGUUUAUAUUAUUAUUAUCUGUAAUACUUUUAUUAUUUAGAGAUAAUUACUUAAUAUUUAAAUAUAUAAAUAAGAAAAAAAAUUCAAAAAAACAUCCAUCAAUAUAUAAUAUAACAAAUUAUUGUCUUUAAAACCUAAUUUUUAGCAUAAAAAAAAGGUAUUUUAUCUCACUCAAAGUUACUCCCAAAUCAACUCUUAAGGAUUGUUUGAAAUUGCAAAUUUAACUUUUAUAUUGAUAAAUAAAAGAGGUAAAAGUAAUUGUUAUGUUUGAAAAUUAUAUGUCAAAAAUAUUGUUAUUAAAGAGAAAGAUAAUUUUGAAAUUUUUAGUUAAAUAAAAAUUUUCUAAAAUAUAUAUAUAUAUAUAUAUAUAUAUAUAUAUAUAUAUAUAUAUAUAUAUAUAUAUAUUUAAUGCAUAUGAAUUUCUAUUCACAUCCAAUUAUGAUCUAAUAUUCUUAUAUAAAACCUCAUUCAAUUUAACAUGAGUAUAAUUACUUAUUUUAUUAUUUAUUAAUAUAUAUUAUAAUUAAUUAAUUAAUUUAUUUAUUUUAAAAAAAAAAACUAUGAAUGAUUGAUAUUUCCAUAAAAUCAAAACGUGAUGUAGACUAAUUGGUGCCUAGCGUUGACCCAAAGUCAAGUCUUUUCUCUAGUGUGGCAUUUUACACAUUUAUUUAUGAUUACCAAGACUUGGAAAAGCAACAUUAGGAAUUGGUGUUCCCCAAUUUUUUGUCAUCAGGUUUAAAAGAUAAAAUAGAGGGUAAGACAUGGAUUUAAAUUUUAUAAUCAGAUUAAAAAACCGAAAACAAUAUCUAUAAUCAAACAAUUUCACAUGUGUUUUGAAGUUUUAUUGUUUUAUUUAUUUAUAGAUUGAUUCAACAACCUAAAUUUUAUUAUAUAUAUUUAAUGAUUUAGAUUUUUUAUUUUAUAUGUAUAUUCUCUCUCUUAACAUUUUCUCAAAUUCCAUCAAUUCAUGAGUUUCCAAGAAGUAUCCCCUACUCCACUCCAUGAAACAUAUCUUGAAAAUGAAGUUGUCCCUUAGAAUAAAAUAUCUAUCCUCAAGACUUAAGACCUCAAACCUAAAGCUAAGGAUAGACCUCCAACCACCAUCUGGAGGACAUUAAUUAGUCUUGUUUUCUUAAUUUUUAUUUUCCAACCCCACUUUAACAACCGAAAAGAUUUACUUGUCUUUAUUUAUGAUUUAAAAAUAAAUAAAUUCAACUUUAUAUUAACUUGACUUUCAAAUAUACUAUUUAACCGUUGGUUUUCAUCUUUCCCACCCAUCUUCCUCCCAACUCAUAGAGAAGCGGUAAGGAACUCAAUGUCACCAAAAUGCGGAAACCACCAUUUUUAUUUACCAAAAUUCCAUUCCCCGCUCUAUUUCUCCUCCUCGUCUUCUCCUUAACCUUUCAAGUAAUUUCCCAAAAUCUAGAUGCUGAACGAUCAAUCCUACUAGACGUUAAACAACAACUGGGCAAUCCACCGUCACUCCAAUCGUGGAAUUCCUCAUCCUCGCCCUGUGAUUGGCCGGAAAUUACAUGCAUCGACAAUAUCGUCACUGAAAUUUCACUCAGCUACAAGACCAUCACAAAGAAAAUUCCGGCCAGAAUUUGUGACCUCAAGAACCUAAUCGUACUUGACGUCUCCUACAAUUACAUUCCAGGCGAGUUCCCGGAUAUUCUCAAUUGCUCUAAGCUCGAAUAUCUCCUCUUGUUGCAAAACUCCUUCGUGGGUCCAAUUCCAGCUGAUAUUGAUCGACUUUCACGUCUCCGAUACCUAGACCUCACCGCAAACAACUUCUCUGGAGAUAUUCCCGUAGCAAUUGGGCGGCUACGGGAGCUGUUCUACUUGUUUCUGGUUCAAAAUGAGUUCAACGGCACCUGGCCAACGGAGAUUGGUAAUUUGUCAAAUCUUGAACAAUUGGCCAUGGCCUAUAAUGACAAAUUCCGGCCUUCAGCCCUUCCAAAGGAGUUUGGCGCAUUGAAGAAGCUGAAGUAUCUGUGGAUGACGAAGGCAAAUUUGAUGGGCGAAAUACCGGAGAGCUUCAACAAUCUAUCGAGUCUGGAACUCUUGGACCUCUCAAACAACAAAUUGGAAGGUACGAUCCCGGGAGGCAUGCUUACAUUGAAGAAUUUGAACUAUUUUCUUUUAUUCAUUAAUAGAUUGUCCGGCCACAUUCCUUCAUCCAUAGAAGCUCUCAACUUGAAAGAAAUUGAUCUUUCCGACAACCAUUUGACGGGGUCCAUACCAGCGGGUUUCGGGAAGCUACAAAAUUUGACGGGUUUGAAUCUUUUCUGGAAUCAGUUGUCAGGAGAGAUACCAGCAAAUAUAAGCCUCAUUCCUACACUUGAAACUUUCAAAGUUUUUAGCAAUCAAUUGAGUGGAGUUUUACCUCCAGCAUUUGGCCUUCAUUCGGAGCUCAAACUCUUUGAGGUUUCCGAGAAUAAACUAAGCGGGGAAUUACCUCAACAUUUAUGCGCUAGGGGGACUUUGCUUGGAGUGGUCGCUUCCAACAACAAUCUCAGCGGGGAAGUGCCCACGUCCCUCGGGAAUUGCACAAGUUUGCUCACCAUUCAACUUUCCAACAAUCGUUUUUCAGGCGGGAUUCCUUCCGGCAUCUGGACAUCCCCGGACAUGGUAUCGGUGAUGUUAGAUGGAAAUUCAUUCUCAGGGACACUUCCAAGUAAAUUGGCAAGGAAUUUGUCUAGAGUGGAGAUCGCUAACAACAAGUUUUAUGGUCCAAUUCCUGCUGAAAUCUCUUCCUGGAUGAACAUCUCUGUGCUCAAUGCCAGCAACAAUAUGUUGUCUGGAAAAAUUCCAGUGGAAUUGACCAGUCUUUGGAACAUCACUGUUCUGUUGCUUGAUGGGAAUCAAUUCUCGGGUGAACUUCCAUCCCAGAUCAUCUCAUGGAAGUCGCUCAAUAAGUUAAAUCUCUCAAGAAACAAACUUUCUGGCCUAAUUCCCAAGGCAUUAGGUUCUUUAACUAGCCUUAGUUACCUCGACCUGUCAGAAAACCAGUUCUCAGGUCAAAUUCCUCCUGAACUUGGCCAUUUGAACCUUAUUAUCCUCCAUCUUUCGUCCAACCAACUGUCUGGGAUGGUCCCCAUUGAGUUUCAACAUGAAGCAUAUGAAGACAGUUUCUUGAACAAUCCCAAGUUGUGUGUCAAUGUUCCCACUUUGAACCUCCCUAGAUGUGAUGCCAAACCCGUCAACUCCGACAAAUUGUCAACCAAAUAUCUCGUUUUCGCUCUAUCUGGUUUCCUAGCUGUUGUUUUCGUCACCCUGUCCAUGGUUCAUGUCUAUCAUAGGAAGAAUCACAAUCAGGAGCAUACAGCUUGGAAAUUUACUCCAUACCAUAAACUAGAUCUCGAUGAAUACAACAUAUUGUCCAGUUUGACAGAAAAUAAUCUGAUCGGAUGUGGUGGGUCAGGGAAAGUAUACCGAGUUGCUAAUAACCGUUCUGGUGAACUCUUAGCGGUUAAAAUGAUUUGUAAUAAUAGGAGAUUGGAUCAAAAGCUUCAGAAACAAUUCGAAACAGAAGUCAAGAUAUUGAGCACCAUACGCCAUGCCAAUAUAGUGAAGUUGUUGUGCUGCAUAUCAAAUGAAACCUCAAGUCUUCUUGUUUACGAGUACAUGCAGAAGCAGAGUUUGGAUAGAUGGCUUCAUGGGAAGAAGCAGAGAACAUCGUCCAUGACAAGUUCAGUUCAUAACUUUGUCUUGGAUUGGCCAACAAGGUUGCAGAUUGCUAUCGGAGCUGCAAAAGGCCUAUGCCACAUGCAUGAAAACUGCUCUGCCCCGAUCAUACAUCGAGAUGUGAAGUCCAGCAACAUCUUGCUAGAUGCCGAGUUCAACGCGAAAAUUGCAGAUUUUGGAUUGGCCAAGAUGUUGGUCAAGCAAGGAGAGCCAGACACCAUGUCAGGAAUUGCAGGCUCUUACGGAUAUAUUGCCCCUGGUAAGACCAUCAAGGCCCUCCUUUCCAAAUGUUUUCAUUUCCAUAAUUUAUCGAUAAGUUGUAUCAUACCAUUCUUGUAUACUUGGAUGAUAGAGUAUGCUUAUACAACAAAGGUGAACAAGAAGAUCGAUGUAUAUAGCUUUGGAGUAGUCUUGCUUGAGCUUGUGACGGGGAGAGAACCCAACAAUGGGGACGAGCACGUGUGCCUUGCAGAAUGGGCAUGGGAUCAGUUCAGAGAAGAGAAAACCAUUGAGGAAGUGAUGGAUGAGGAGAUCAAGGAAGAAUGUGAUAGAGCACAAGUGGCCACUCUCUUCAAACUAGGCAUUAGGUGCACUAACAAAUUACCAUCCAAUAGGCCCACAAUGAAAGGGGUUUUGAAAAUUCUUCAACAGUGCAGUCCUCAAGAGGGCCAUGGAAGAAAUAAAAAGGACCAUGAAGUUGCACCUCCACUUCGAAAUGACACUUACCCCACCACUUACAAGUUGUGAGGAUAAAGCCCUUAAAAACAUGAUAUGAUGUAAUAAAUUUGGAAGUCAUUAUUUAUUUAAUGAUGUUCCGAUUUCACUUUUAUCUAUCCUUAUUCCAUAUAUUAUACUUUAUGAGCAUUCUUGCCUGCAUCUUUUGCAUUGCACGUAACUUAGGUGCAUUAAGAGUUGCACAGAAGAUCUAGGUCAUGGGUUCCUUGCAAAUAUAUGACUUGUUCACAACCAGUUCAUGGGUCUAGGAAGCCCAUUAGGGGUUGUAAUAAUCCACUUCCUAAUUGGAAGAAUGGCUAGUCUUAGCUAUUGGGAUGAGUUUCCCAUGGUAAGUGCAUUAGUGUGUAUGAUUACAUAUUGGACAUGACCUAUGGUGAAUCAUGAAUUAAGGUUAUCAAGCAGUCAUGACCUCAUCAAACUACUUCAUUAUAUUGUCUCUCAACCUUGAGAGAAUAUCGAGCUCGUACUAAAGUUAGCAAUGACUUUGACAUACGAGUGAGAUCGUAAGUUGAUCAUAUAUUCCCUAUGGAUUGAGUCAUUGUUGAUGGAAAAUGGUAGCAAUAGGUAUUUUCAAUAAAAACACCAUGAUGUCUCUUGGGAUUAAGACAAUGUGCCCCUUUUGGUGAUCCUAAAGAGGUGUGUUUAUGGAAACUAUGGUCAUAGUAGUUCCUUAAGUAAAACUCGACAUAGGCUCUUUGAGAGCUAAGACAUGUCAAUUGAAUACACAAUAGAAGGAUUUAUAACUCAAGGAUGGUAGAGGUAGUCUUGAAAGACUAAUAACUUUUACUUUGUUAGACUAUGAAUAUCAGUUCAUGGGAAGACUAAACACAAUAAAUAGCAAGUCACAAACCUGAACAUUUGGUAUCUCAUUGUUAUUUUCAAUAAAAUAACAAUGAGAUGGUAAGUUGAUCAUAUAUACCCUAUGGAUUGGGUUAUUGUUGAUGGAAGAUGGUAGCAAUAGGUAUUUUCAAUAAGCACCAUAAUAUCUCUUGGGAUUAAGAUAGUGUGCCCCCUUGGGUAAUCUUAAAAAGUGUGUUCAUGGAAACUAUGGUCAUAGUAAUUCAUUAAGUAAAACUCAACAUAGGCUCUUUGAGAGCUAAGACAUGUCAAUUGAAUACACAAUGGAGGAUUUAUAACUCAAGGAUGAUAGAGGUAGCCUUGAAAGACUAAUAACUUUCACUUUGUUAGACUACGAACAUCAGUUCAUGGGGAGACUAAACACAAUAAAUAGCAAGUCACAAGCUCGAGCAUUUGGUAUCUCGUUGUUAUUUACAUAAGAUACGGGAGUUCAAUUGAUUCUCUGUAGUGGGAUGUUGAAUCAACUUUAGAAUUGGAUUUUGAGAGAGUCGGUAUUCUUAUGGGUUCCAAUGGUCCUUGCUCUAAGCUUAUAUACUUUGUUGGCAUGGGUUAUAAGAGUCGGAUUGACUCUAGGUUCACUUUUGUACAUAAAGGCAUUUUGAUAAUUACACAAGGUUACACAAAGGUAAGUGAACAAGGUUUUUAAAUUGGGUUAAUUGAUUAAUUAGUAGGCCUUGUUUAGUUAAUUAAUCAAUUAGGACUUUUUUUGGGCUAUAUUAAGUGACCUAAGCCCUUAGUGGGCUCAAGUCACUUAAACCUAAUAGAAAACCCUUUAAAUACCCCCUUAAGGGUUAGAGUUUAUAUAGUUUUUCUAAAGAGCCAUCUUCUAUCUCUAGAGAGAAAGAGAAAGAGUCAUAGCGUCCACCCUCCCUUCUAUCUCCACUAAAAGUGUGUCAAGAUCAAGGUUCAAGUCAUUGGGAGGAAGACUUUGGAUUUACGAGACUUCUGUGAUUUCGUUCUUCAUUUUCACCACGUGGAUUUGAUUUGAGAACAUACGAAUUUGAGGUAUGGUUUUCAUUAGCACUUUCUGAAUCCCUUUAAAGUUUAAAAAUGUUAUUUUUCCGUUGUGUAUAGGAUUAAUUUAGAAAAUGCUUAGAAUAGUUAUGCAUGUUCGUAACCUGAUCUGAGCUUAGGAAAUGGAGAGAUCCUAGUUUUUUCCCUCAAUGUUUGUGCUCCAAAGUGUUGAGAUAGUUUAGAGGGUGACAUGAUGAUUAACAUAAUACCUUAUAUGGAGAACCUAGUGAAUCCCUUCUCCAAGACAUUGAUAGGGAGAGUCUUUGCUAGUCACAUGGAUAGCAUAGGUUUCAGAUGAGUAUUUGGCAUGCUUUAAAGGCAUGAUACUUUGAGGGCUAAUAGGAGAAUGUUAGGAUAAAGCCCUUAAAAACAUGACAUGAUGUAAUAAAUUUGGAAUUCAUUAUUUAUUUAAUGAUGUUUUAGUUUCACUUUUAUCAAUCCUUAUUCCAUGUAUUAUACUUUAUGAGCAUUCUUGUCUGCAUUUUGUGCAUUGUACAUGACUUAAUUGCAUUAGGAGUUAUAUAGAAGAUCUAAGUCAUGGGUUUCUUGCAAAUAAAUGACUUGUUCACAACUGAUUCAUGGGUCUAGGCAACCCACUAGAGGUUAUAGUGCACCAUACCACCUUCUAAUUGGAGGGAUGACUAGUCUUAAUUAUCAGGAUGAGUUUCCCAUUGUGAGUGCAUUACUGUGUAUGGUUACACAUUAGACAAAACCUACAGUGAGUCAUGGCUUAAGGCUAUCAAGUAGUCAUGUCCUUACCAACCAACUUCAUUAUGUCGUCUCUCAACUUUAAGAUAAUAUUGAGUUUAUACUAAAGUUAGCAAUGGCUUUGACCUACAGGUGAAAUCAUAAGCUAAUCAUUUGGGUCAUUGUUGAUGGAAGUCGGUAGCAAUAGGUAUUCUCAAUAGAAAUACCAUGAUAUCUCAUGGGAUUUAGACAGUGUGUCCCCUUGAGUAAUCUUAAGAAAGUGUGUUCAUACAAACUAUGACCAUAGUAGUUCCUUAAGUGGAACUUGACAUAGACUCUUUGACAACUAAGACAUGUCAAUUAAAUAUAUAAUUGGACGAUCUGUAACUCAAAGAUAGUAGAGGUAAUCUUUAAGGAUUGAUAACUUUCACUUUAUUAGACUACAGACACUAAUUCAUGGGGAGACUAAACAUAAUGGAUAGCAGGUCAUGGACCCGAGUACGUAAUAUCUCGUUGUUAUUUACAUAGGAUAUUGGAGUUCAAUUGAUUCUCUAUGGUGGAAUGUUGAAUCAACUUUAGAAUUGGAUUUUGAGGAAGUCAGUACUCCUAUGGGUCCCAAUAGUCCACACUCUAAGCUCAUAUAACCUAUUGACACGGAUUAUGAGGGUCGGAUUGGCUUUAGGUUCAUUUUUGUGUAUAAGGGCAUUUUGAUAAUUACACAAGGUUGCAUAAGGGUAAGUGGACAAGGUCUCUAAAUUGAACUAAUUGAUUAAUUAAUAGGCCUUAUUGGGUUAAUUAAUCAAUUAGGACCCAUUUUGAGUUAGAUUAAGUGACCCAAGCCCAUGUGGGCUCAAGUCACUUAAGCAUACUUAGGAACCCUAUAUAUACCCCCUAAGGUUUAGGGUUCCCACAACUUUUGUCCUCCACCUGUUAGGAUAGAGCCCUUAAAAGUAUAACAUGAUGUAAUAAAUUUGGGAUUCUUUAUUUAUUUAAUGAUGUUCUAGUUUCACAUUAUUUAUUUAAUGUGAAGACAUUUGGAACCCAUCUCUCCUUCACAGAUUUAUCCAAAAGUUGCAUGCUCUGACUCAAGUUUCCAUGCAUACACAACCCUCUGAAGUGAUCAUCAACUCCAUUACCUUAGUAGUUUUUUCCAUGUCAAGCAUACAGUUAGUUUUGAGAGCGAGACCCAUUUUCACUAUGAACUCAAUGACUGUGCUUCGAUCAACUAGUUUGGCAUUUUCAUUUCUUUAUGGCAACCAAAUUUGGACUAGAUCUAACACUUGGCAGGCCAAAGGGCAUGAAUCAAAAACAGAGGAAAGCGACGGAAAAAAAAAAAAAAAACAAAGCACAAAUGGUUGAAACAAAACGAACUAAUAAAAGCCACAUUUUAUGUUUCAAUCAACCGACUUAGAUGUAGGUGAGUGAAACUAAAAAGAUUUUAAACAAGAACACAAGUAUUAUUCAGACAUUCUAUAGGAAAGCUACAACAGAGAUAAAUCAUGCUCAAACAUAACCAAAGGAAAUGAGGCAUGAAUCAACUAUAACCAAAUCACAGAAACCAAGAGAUUAACAAUAACAAGUGUGUGUCCUACGAUUAUCCAGACCCAAAACAUGGAAAAUUUUAGAAUCUAAUUGAUAAAUGAAAGAAAAAAAUGGAAAAAAUGGAGAUGAAGAAAAUUAAAUACACAAUUUAAAGGACUGAGAACCUGACCUGAACUCUUCUCUAAGAUUUAGCAAUUUAUGAAUGUAUCUUCAGGCCCCUGUAGACGAAUCCAUGCUUGGUGGUAGUAUGCUUAUUGAUGACAGUCUGGAGAUGUGGAAAUCAAAUGAUUCUGAUGAACUAAAUUUGAUGCGUGAUGAGAUAGAUGACGUGUUAUCUAAGGAUCACAAAGUUCAUCAAUAGAAACUCGUUUGAUGAUGCGUCAAUCUGAUGGAGAGAAUUCGUUGAUAAAAAAUGAUGAAAUGCCAAUUUGAAGAUAGUGACUGCGAUUCAUCUCCGGAGAUGAAUCUAAUGAGAACGUUCAGGAGUCAUAAAUGGAGAGUGUAGGGACCCCUCCCCUUGGGAAACACGUGGCACGCAGCUCAUAGUGACGCGUGGCACGUGUUAUCAGCCGGACCGUCAUUAUCCGGAUUCCCCUAAGGAUAUGCAUGGUGCAGAUAUCCUAUCCGGACCGCCUCAAGGAAAGGCAAACGACGUUUCAUCUUCUCCUAUCCAAGGAAGAGCAAACGACGUUGGCAGAGCGUACACAUCCGGAUAGUCUCCACAACACAUCCGGAUAGUCAACAUGAGCCAUCCGGAUAUAAAUCUUCUGGAUGGUCAAUUAAAGUAAAGCGAGUCUUACACGCAAUCACAACAAGCAGCCAUGGCCCACAUCCCAUCACCUGCAGAAUGAGAAGACAAGAGGAAGUGACAGCAAGUCACUUCCCACGAUCAUUCUGCAUAAUCGCUUCCCACGAUCUCUGACGGCCGCAUCACCUACCAUAGUCUCUGACAGCCAUUCAUAGGAUGAUAGUGCUCCUACUAACACCUAUUGUCAUCAUCACAACAGAAAAGAUCUCCUCACCAUUAAUGAGAGGAACAGUACCCCUGAAGCUGGAUAUAUAUACCUUCGCACGAAGAAGAAAGGGGAUCUCCUGGUAAUCUCUUGAUACCUAGAAAAAGGCCAACUGAUUUAUAUAUCUCUUUCUCACCAUGGCUAACAAAACCAUCGGAGGGUGCGUCCGGACACCCUGUCCGAAUGCCUUUUGCAGGUGCAACCACUGAAUCAAGAACCCCUUGUGUGUUGAGAAUCACGUAUCCAUCCAUAUAGCAGCAACGUGGACCAUCGGAUACGCGAGGUGACAACAGAGAGCUCUAAUGGCGGUGGUGAUUUGCAGCAAUGUCAAUCUCUGGUGGCAGUGACAGCAAGCUCUAAUGGUGGUAAACUACGCCAACAGAGACAAUCUCCAUGAAUUGCACAACAAACUUCAAUGGCGAUCUCCAAUGGUGGUGAUGAAUUCUCCUACAACAAUGAACUCUCAUUCUCCUGUAGAGAUGAACUCUCAGAUGUUGGUGAAUUAUUUUUAUAUAUUUUUUUAAUAAAUUUUAAAUGAAAUAAAAUAAAUAAAUUUUAAAUUUUUAUACAUUUUUUUAAACUCAUUUAACUUAUUUUAAUUUUUCAAUUAUAAAAUUAAAUAAUUUGAAAAUAUAUAAAUUUCUAACUAAUUUUAAUUAUAUUUUAUUUUCUUUUAUAAUUUUCAUAUAUAGUAUAACCAGUACCAAUGUUUUCAAAAUCAGACCGGCGCUUGAACCAGAAAAGUUACCAGUUCAUGAUUUACGGUUCAUUAGUUGAACUGGUGGUCAAACCGCGGUCGAAUCAAUGACAUCAUAAAUAAUAAUUUUUUUUCUUUUUUCUCACUAACUAAUCCCACAUCAGAAAUGGAUAAAAAAUAUGUAGGAAUUGUGGUAUAAAAGGCAAGCUAGAAUCAUUAACUUGCAAGACUAAAAGCUUAUUGGGCUUGAUGACAAACGGGUUGGAUGGGCUCCUCAUGGAAUGAUCCGGUUCUCUUAUGGUAUCAAAACUUUUUUUUUUGGCUUUAAAAUAAAUAAAUAAAUAAACUGUUCGGUUCGCUAAGAAUCGCCCGAUUGGGGCAGUUCACUAGUUCAACCGCUGGUUUUGUUACCGAUCGGACCAACUGGUCCAGUCCGAUUUUUAAAUCAUUAUCAAAUACAAUAAAAUAAUUUUCCUUAACAUUUCUUUUAUUUUUUUAAGUACUUCUCAAGAAUCAAACAUAAUCAUAAGACUAAUCAUAUUUUUUAUUAUAAGAUCAUUCGAAUACAAUGCCCCAAGUGAGAAUCUCAAAACGUUUGUCAAUGUUUUACUAAUAUUAAGAUUUUGAAAAUCUAUACAAUUUCUUUUUCUUUUUUUCUUUUUUUAAUAUUUGGAUGAUAGAGCAUGAGUAUACAAGAAAGGUCAAUGCAAAGAUCAAUGUCUACAAUCUUGAAAUUGCACUUCUAGAGUUGGGCCCUAAAAGAGAACCCAAUAGGGGGGAGGGGUAGCAUAUAAACCUUCCUCAAUGGGCAUGGCAACACCUUGGAGAAGGAAAGUUAUAAGUGAAAGCACUGGAUGAGGAGAUCAUGGCACAAUGCUACUUCAAAAAAAUGAGUACUAUGUUCCCAAUAAUCAAACUUUAUCAUGAAAAUGUUGAUAAUAGCGAGGAUUAUCUUAUUUACAAGUAUAGAGACAAAUAGGCAAAAGGUAAAUAAAUUAUUAAUAGAGCUUAAAAUAAUAAAUUAAGCAAAUAAACAUAUGGUAAGAUCGAAACUCAUUAUCCUUCUACUAAAUAAAAUUCUAAUACCAUAUUGGAUAACUAAAUUUUUUAAGAACUUAAACUUAAGAUUUGGAUCCUUAUGAUUGUAUAUCACAUUUUCUAAUAAUAUAUCAAAUACUUUUCUAGAUUUUGUGUUGACUUGUGAUUACUUCUCUAAAUCAAUUUUUCAGCAUCUUGUAUAUAUGUAUUUGUUAGGAUGAAUCUGUCACGCCCCAAGACCCACUCCAAGGGCGUGACGGUCAUUUCACACCUCAAACCCGAAGGCUUAAAGUAUAAUCUGACCCAAACAAUCAUAUUGUAACUGGAUGUUACCAAUUACCAAAUACCUGUUCAGAGUAGCGGAACAAAAUCUAAAAUCCUCAAAAUUCAAUUUCCAAAUAACUUCCAAAUAUCAAAUGAUCCAAAUGAACAUAACUAACAGUUAAACAAAAUCCAACAUAAAAUCCUAAGUCAAAUCCUAAUGAUGACCAUUCCUCAGCCUAGCCAUCACUCCUCACCCGAACUAAGAGUACCUGAAAAAUUUUCAACAAUUGGGAAUGAGCUCACAGCCCAAUAAGGAAUAUUAAUGCAAUUCAUGGAUCAAAUAUUUUCAUUUCAAAUAGGAGAUAUCAAUUUUUUUUUUUCUCAUCGAAUAUCAGAGUUUCAAAAAUACCAAUAUAUUCAAAAUUCAACCAACCAAUUUCAUAUCAAAUUCAAACACUUUCACAUCAGACUCAAUCAAAUCCAUUCAAUUUUUUCAUUACUCUGGUUAUCAAAUAUCAAAUGCCCAGUUAGGUGGGACUUUUCAAAUGGGUGGCUAGCCUCAAAUUGUUCCUGGUGGACGAAACCAAACACUACUAGUACUAGUAACCUCUAACCAAACCCCUAGAGGCUGGGGUCCAAAUCAAUUACAUUCCCACCAUGAAAUGUAAAGGUCAACUAUUAUAGCCCGUUGACAGGGCCGAAUAGUCAACUAUUAUAUCCCGUUGACAAGGGCCAAACAAACCAGAGUGAUGUUUUUGUUCAAGUAUUCAAAUUUACACAACAUAAUAUCUCCAUAUUUUGUGUCAUAAAUAAAACAAAAUAUUCCAACAUAAUAUUCAGUGCAAAACAAUUUGAUCCAUGCAUGGUAACAAAAUAUCAUUUUCUUUUCCACAAUUCAAAAUAACAUAUAAAAUAAUUUAAUUUUAUAAAUAUUGCAUUAACUUCCCUUACCUCAAAAGAAGUCCUUGAAAGCUUGGGAGAAGAAUAAUUCUGAAAAAAAUAUAAUCUACUCUUCACCUAAUAUAACAUAAGAGAAACAAUUAUUACUAUUUAUUUAUAAUUUAACUAAUUUAUUCCUUAUUUAAAUAAAACUAAUAAAUUCCCAAUUUGUUUCUAAUAACACACUACUAAUUUAAUUAAAUUACAAUUUUAUUUCAUUAUAAAAUUCUAUAUAUAUAUAUAUAUAUAUAUAUAUAUAUAUAUAUAUAUAUAUAUAUAUAUUGCUAAAUCUAUUAUUACUAUUAUCUUAAUUAUUAAUCUGAAACUAAAUAUCAUUAUUUUAUUAAUUACCUAAUUUGAGGCUAAAUCAUUAUUACAAAAAAUAUAUUAUUAUAUAUUUUGCUAAAUCUCUUACAUGUAUGGGGUACACACCAAACAAGUAAAACAAAGCAAAAAAAUUUUUUUUUUCCAUUGCCAUCAUCAUAAUAAUGAAUCAUUAUAUAUAUAUAUAUAAGUCUCCUUCCAUCCGGGCACACGCCCAAAUUUUUUUUUUUUUUAUUUUCCUUCCUUCCAAUGCUGUGCACACGCGUUCUCCUUUUUUUUUUUUUUUUAAUUAACCCUAACCUAAAAUUGAAAUAUUCCAAGGAAUUUUUUUUUUCUAAUAAAACUUAAGAUCUCCCAAAUUCCAAUACUAAAAUCAAAAUAUUAAAUUUUCACUAUUUGAUAUUAAAACGAAUUAAAAAAAAUAAUCUAACCCUAAUCUAGAUUUGGGGUUUUCCAAAAAAAAUAUAUCUAAUGUGUUUGAAAUUAAUCAAUGAAUCUAAAAUAUUAAACUAGGGGUUAGAAUCUUACCUAUAGAGAUUUUUUCUUCAACCCUGAAAUCUGACUCCAACCUUACGUUUUCUGAAAUUCUGCGAAUAGGAACUCUAUUCAGAAAAGAAGGGAAAAAAUAAAAUUUCUAAUUUAUACCUAGGGUAUUUAUUCGUAAAAUUACACUUUUACCCCUCUUCCACUUUAUUAAAUUAAUUAAUUAACUAAUUAAAUUAUUAAUAACAAUUUCCUAAAUUACCCUUAAAAGAAAAUGCCUGGGCGUUACAGAAUCAAUUAUCAAUGAAUGCAAAAAUGCAACUCCUCAUAGAGUCUCUUGCUUAUUUCCUCUACAACUUAAUUAGAAAAACUUAAAAGAACUCCAGAGUGAUUUCACAAAGAAAUAGGAUAAUUAUUUUAUCUUCAAACCUGCAAAAAAGAUAUGGAAACCGUAUCAUUGAAAUAAUUAAAACAGAAAACAAUUGGAAUCAAAGUGCUAUUGCCUUAUUUUAAAAACAAAAAAUAAAUAAAAUAAAUCUUAGGUUUUAUGCAAAACUAAAUAUUAGUUGCCUAAAGCUCCUUAUUUGGAAUACUAGAUGGGUGUCAAGCAUCAUUUCAACUCGGCACCUCCUUCGGUAAAUACCAAAAAUAAUAUUUGUUUUGGGAACAAGACUAGAGUUUUGAGCGGAUAUAAUAUAUUUUAAAAAAAUACACAAAAUAGAUUUCCAAGUAAAAUAAUUCUCAAGCUAGUAUAUUUCAGCUACAUGGGCAUCCAUAUGGUCGUAGAUUUUUUUUUUUUUAAUGUUGGUCUAUGUCAUAAAACUUUAAUUAGUAACUACGAUUUUGAUUUUUUAAAACAUAAAAUGAUAGUUAGAUAUUAUAGUUUUAAAUUUAUUUUUAAAAUCAUAAUCAUCAAUUACGAUUAUAAACUUAAAUUUAAAACCUUAGUUGGUAACUAAUGUUUUGACCGUUUUACAACAAAAUCAAAAUUAUAGUUCACAACUAUGAUCAUGUGAUAUAGAUACAAGUGUCAAUAAAACACUCCAAUUUGAAAAUUAUUUUGAGAGGGGAUCUACUUUGUAGAUUUUUAUUUGUUCAAAUAAAUUAUUUUUCCUCAAGGCUUAGAAAACUAACUUGUUUAGAACUAAAUUCAAUUAUACACUCUCCUAAUUUUUCUUUUUAUAAGAUCAAAUCCACGUUAUCAGUUUUCCACUAGAAUCCUCAUGAUUACUUGUAGAAUUGUUGAGAUGAAAUGGAAGUGUGGUAUGAGAUGCAUGCUUGUUUAAACUUCAGUUUCAAUCUUGGUCAAUGCUGUCCAUUCCCUUAGAUGUGCAGGAUGUGGAACCACUGCUGGAUCCUGUUGUGAGACUUGACCAUCAAUAUCCUUUUGGACUUGUGAAAGCAACCUUCCCCCGUUUUCUUGACGCAACCUGCUACUUCCACGUGAGCAUGCCAAACACGCUUAGGGCCUGUUUGUUGGUGUUUUCAAAUACAUUUUUGGAAACAGUUUUUACUGUUUUCAGAAAUAAAAUUAUGUUUAUUUAUUCUCAAAAAUAAAAAGAAUAAAAAAAAAAUAUUUAGUUCAGUUAAUAAAAAUAAUUUUUAAUAACAAAUAAAACAAAAAAACUUGUUUGGAAAAUAUUAUUGUUGGUUUUGUUUUUUAAAGUUGAGUAUUUUAUUUAACUAAUUGAUAUUGUAAAUAUAUAAAUAAUUUUUCUUCGUAAAAAUAAAAAUGUUCCAUUCUAAACAUUUUUUGCAUCGGUUUUAAUUUUUUUAAACAAAUUAUUACUUUGUAAACAUGUCUAAAUAUGUUUGAUUUCAAUAAUUGAUAAACCAUCUUAUCAAAAUAUCAUAAAUCGGUAAAUAUCAAUAAUUGGAUUUUAUGAAGAUAAAAUUUAUGAUAUCAAAUAAUAAUGCAUUAUACUUGGAAACCGAUGAUUUAUCUUUUCUACUAAUAAUAUAUUUAUGAUAAUUUUUUAUUUAAAAAUAUUUAUAAUUUUAUUUUAUAUUUAAGAAUUAUAUAAAAGAUAAAAAAAUUAAAGUAAAUCAAACUAAUUUAUUUAUAAAAAAUUAUUAAUUUUUAUAAAUUUACAUAUUAUAUAUAUAUAUAUAUAUAUAUAUACGACAGGAAUCCUUGUACUCUUUUCUCUCAUUCUCCUUAUGUUCUCCGUUUAUCUUCCAAGGCCCAAACUUUUAUUCACUAAGGUUGAACCAUUUCUCUCCUCAAAUAUUAACUCACUAAAGUCAAAAUUUAGAUCUAUGAUUGUUGUUAAGAUUCUUGGUUAGGAUUUCAUCUUUUGUGUUAUUGUUUAUGUUUUUGUUUGGUUUUUGAGAAAUCCUAGAAUUUAUGAAAGUUUCUGCUUUGAAAUACAUUAAAAAAAAUCAUAUCAGGAUAAAAUCCCAAAAUAUCCGAAAAAUAUUGAAAUGGAAAUGAAGAAAAAAUAAAUAUAAAUAAAACUUGUUGAUUAAGUUGAAUUUUUUUUAAACCGAAUUUUCAAUUUUCUAAUUUUUCUCAUUUUCCUUGGCAGUGUAAAAAAAAAAAAAAGAUAAGAGCACAUAGAGAACACGACAACAACACAAAAAACAUCAUUUUAAAACCAGGUUUUAGAAAACACAUAAAACACUUGAGAACAAAAAACACUCUUUUAUAAAACAUGAUUUUUGUGUUUUUUGUUCUAAAAAAAGAAAACAAUUUUUGGAAAUACCAACCAAACAAGCCCUUAAUGACUCAUUUUUCUUUUAUUUAUUUAUUUUAUUUUUUUGCUUAUUUGUUUAUUCUCUUGUCUGUUUUUAUUUUUAAAGAAAUAAAAAUAUUUUUCAAAAAAAUAAAAAAAAUAAAAUUAAAGAAUGUUCUCCAAACUAAAUGAAUAUUAUAGAACCCGACCAACAACAUACUAAACAAAAUGUAAAAAUCUAAAAAUAUGUUUGGUAGUAAUUGUUUUUAAUAUUUUUAAUACCUAAAAAUGAAAAAAUUUAGUGUUAAAAAAUGAAAAAUAUUUUAUAAAAUCACUGUAAAACUUAUUCUAAAUUAUUGAACUAAAUACGAAAAUAACAUAUCAUGCACGAAAAUAAGAUGAAGCAAAAAUAACUUGUAAUGUACACCUUGGGAAACACAUGAUAUUUUAGCAUCGUGUAGCAGAUUGCAAAAUCAAAUUUCGUGAGGAAUCAGGUGCCCAUAAAUCUCGUAUCUUCAUAAUGGCAUAUAGAGGAAAGUCAAGGUAAACGAAACCAUCAUAUUCUUCAACUUGCAGCCAACCAAAUAUGUUCAAGUCCAUUCAAUACAGUCCAUAAAAAUUUUAUUUUAUUUUUACAAAUUUUUUUUUCUUUCUAGAAUUCGAAUCUGAGCCUCACGACUAAAACCGAAUACGUACAAAGCAUCUAUUCUAAAAAUAAAAAAAUUAAAUUGAAUUAAAAAUUUUGGAUAUUAUAAAGCAGAAUACGUACAAAUUCUGUUGAAAGGUGAGUCAUAACAGUUAAAAAUUUAUAUAUAAUUUUUAUAUAUAUUUUAAUUAGUUUUCAAUUUUGGAUAUUAUCAAAUAAAAUUUUUAUGUAUAAUUUACUUUAGUCAGUAUUGUCCAACAUAAUUAAAUAAUACCAUGGUGGCUUAGGUUAAUUCCAAAAUGAUGGUAAUGGACUAAUGACAGAAAAAUUAUCAUACAAAAUACCUAGGCAACCAUAGGUGAAAAAAAAAGUAAUAUAAAUUCCAUAUAUUAUUAUUUAAUAUUAAUUUUCAGUCACCAUCAUAUGAUUUUUCAUAAAAUAAAAUAAAAAGGUAAAAAGUAAAUGUUCAUUAUGUUUGUUAGUAUAGUAUCAAAAGAAACUUAUUAAAUUUUUAGAAAUAUAAUUUAGAUUUAAAAGUAAUUGUAAAAAUUUGAAAAUAAGACUUAUAUUAUGAAAACAUUAAAAAAUAUUAUAAUUUAACCACAAAGAUAAUGAGUAUGACUAAGAUCGACGAUUAGGAAAAGAGAUUUUAUAAAAAAAAAAAUAUAUAUUUUGAAGUAUCUUACAUGGAUCAUUGAUUUUUAUUCAAAUUUUAAACAAAUUCAUACUAAUUUGGUUCUGGUUCUACUUGUUUCUGGUUCAAAAUGAGUUCAACGACACCUGGCCAACGGAGAUUGGUAAUUUGGCGAAUCUUGAACAAUUGGCCAUGGCCUAUAAUGACAAAUUCCGGCCUUCAGCCCUUCCAAAAGAGUUUGGCGCAUUGAAGAAGCUGAAAUAUCUGUGGAUGACGGAGGCGAAUUUGAUUGGCGAAAUACCGGAGAGCUUCAACAAUCUAUCGAGUCUGGAACUCUUGGACCUCUCAGUCAACAAAUUGGAAGGUACGAUCCCGGGAGGCAUGCUUACGUUGAAGAAUUUGAACUAUUUGCAUUUAUUCAUUAAUAGAUUGUCCGGCUACAUUCCUUCAUCCAUAGAAGCUCUCAACUUGAAACAAAUUGAUCUUUCCGACAACCAUUUGACGGGGUCCAUACCAGCGGGUUUCGGGAAGCUACAAAAUUUGACGGGUUUGAAUCUUUUCUGGAAUCAGUUGUCAGGAGAGAUACCAGCAAAUAUAAGCCUCAUUCCUACACUGGAAACCUUCAAAGUUUUUAGCAAUCAAUUGAGUGGAGUUUUGCCCCCAGCAUUUGGCCUUCAUUCGGAGCUCAAAUUCUUUGAGAUUUUUGAGAAUAAACUAAGUGGGGAAUUACCUCAACAUUUAUGCGCUAGGGGGGCUUUGCUUGGAGUGGUCGCUUCCAACAACAAUCUCAGCGGGGAAGUGCCCACGUCCCUCGGGAAUUGCACAAGUUUGCUCACCAUUCAGCUUUCCAACAAUCGUUUUUCAGGCGGGAUUCCUUCCGGCAUCUGGACAUCCCCGAACAUGGUAUCGGUGAUGUUAGAUGGAAAUUCAUUCUCAGGGACACUUCCAAGUAAAUUGGCAAGGAAUUUGUCUAGAGUGGAGAUCGCUAACAACAAGUUUUAUGGUCCAAUUCCUGCUGAAAUCUCUUCCUGGGUGAACAUCUCUGUGCUCAAUGCCAGCAACAAUAUGUUGUCUGGAAAAAUUCCAGUGGAAUUGACCAGUCUUUGGAACAUCACUGUUCUGUUGCUUGAUGGGAAUCAAUUCUCGGGUGAACUUCCAUCCCAGAUCAUCUCAUGGAAGUCUUUCAAUAAGUUAAAUCUCUCAAGAAACAAACUUUCUGGCCUAAUUCCCAAGGCAUUAGGUUCUUUAACCAGCCUUAGUUACCUCGACCUGUCAGAAAACCAGUUCUCAGGUCAAAUUCCUCCUGAACUUGGCCAUUUGAACCUUAUUAUCCUCCAUCUUUCGUCCAACCAACUCUCUGGGAUGGUCCCCAUUGAGUUUCAACAUGAAGCAUAUGAAGACAGUUUCUUGAACAAUCCCAAGUUGUGUGUCAAUGUUCCCACUCUGAACCUCCCUAGAUGUGAUGCCAAACCCGUCAACUCCGACAAAUUGUCAACCAAAUAUCUCGU